rnacentral:tRNA from 1 species
GCUCCUUUAGCUCAGUUGGUUUAGAGUGCUUGACUUACAUUCAAGUGGUCGUAAGUUCGAAUCUUACAAGGAGCA